CACGUAGGGCGCAAGCGUUGUCCGGAAUUAUUGGGCGUAAAGAGCUCGUAGGCGGUCUGUCGCGUCGAAAGUGAAAACUCAGGGCUUAACCCUGAGCCUGCUUCCGAUACGGGCAGACUAGAGGUAUGCAGGGGAGAACGAAUUCCUGGUGUAGCGGUGAAAUGCGCAGAUAUCAGGAGGAACACCGGUGCGAAGGCGGUUCUCUGGGCAUUACCUGACGCUGAGGAGC
rnacentral:rRNA from 1 species